rnacentral:lncRNA from 1 species
ACAACCUAAUAAGGUUAUGGGCUGUGACGAGCAUGUUGCAUGCACCUGGAAAUGGGAGAAAGGCAGGCGUGGAAUGAGCUUACCUGCUGCUCUACAUGAAAGCAGAAUUACUUUUAUAUUAUCUUGAUAAAACUAGUCAUCAACCUCUGUACAGCAGAAAAUCAACAUAGUCUGUAGACUUGGAAGUCGGGUUUUUUUCCACAUGCCUUUUCAUUUAUUUUCUGUCCCUUAUGAUUGCCUCUGGGGGAUAUUCCUGAUAUUGUCAUAUUGUUCCUCUGUGCUUGGUUCUCUGUAGCCUGCUGUUGGAGCUUGACUUAUAUUUGACUUUGGAACUCUUCAGACUUCUGUCUCCAAGAAGAUGAACUGUAACCUUUACUGCAGAGAGCUCCAUCAUGCCCAAGGAACAAAGAUGUUGACCACAGUCUUUCUUACACAAUUAAGUAAUCUUUUAGACAUUCUGACAAUAAACUGUGGACGGUCUGAAGGCCUCUCAGGGAAGGCUUCCCUCAACACACUGCUUCGUGGUCCCCUCUUGUGAACUGGCAAGGGCUGGAAAAUGCAACCACUGUGUGUUCUCUGUACAUCCUGAUUUUAAAACUCAUUUUCAGAAGCAGAAGAGGAACACUGCAGACUGGAUUUUCAAAUGUUCUGAAUCUCACAGACCACUGAAAAAGGUGCUGGGCUUUGUAUGAUCUUGUCUCUUGGCUCCUACACAGUAAGAGUUAUGUUCAAAACUUAAUGGCUGUGUGU